rnacentral:rRNA from 1 species
UACGUAGGGUGCAAGCGUUGUCCGGAAUUAUUGGGCGUAAAGAGCUCGUAGGCGGUUUGUCGCGUCGGCUGUGAAAACUCGGGGCUCAACCCCGGGCCUGCAGUCGAUACGGGCAGACUAGAGUGCUGUAGGGGAGACUGGAAUUCCUGGUGUAGCGGUGAAAUGCGCAGAUAUCAGGAGGAACACCGGUGGCGAAGGCGGGUCUCUGGGCAGUAACUGACGCUGAGGAGCGAAAGCGUGGGGAGCGAACAGG